GCAUCACUGAUUAGCCAACCCCAGGUCACAAGCAGUGCUGGAGAACGGGGAAGGAGAGCACUUCAGGAACCUUAGAGCAGGCCUGUGGCAUGGUGAAGUUCUCCGUCAGGUCUAUCACUGUUGAGGAAGAACUCUGAAGACGGACCUUGGCUGGUGAAGCAAGAUGGUGGCUUGGUCAAGUCCAUGGAUAAGGAAAGAAUGAAAAUCACAUUCUAGAAGAUUCAGUCACACUAUUAUUGCAUGGUCAUAUUGUAGGCAGUAGGUUAAGUGUUAUAGUUGGCACUAUUUUGCUUAGCGUUGUAAACAGGUUGGUGAGCUGUUUGCAUCCACAUUUUACAAAUAAGGAAGUCAAGGACACACAGAAUAAUGAAUAUUGCACAAAACUGGGUCUUGGAGCUUUUCUUUCAAAGUGGGAUGUGUCCACAGAUGUCCCUGGGUGGCAGCGGCACGUAAACAUGACAAAGGAAUCCCAGGGCACAAUAUCAUGGAUAUUUAAGAAAUGCCUGGUGAUCUCAUAAUCUCCACCAGUGCAUUGUUUGAGUUGAGGGAUUGGGAGGAAAAAAUGCCGAGAAAUAUUUCAUGAUCUGGAAACUUUCAGCUCCUUUAAUAUGAAAAUGUUCAACAUGAAGUAUUAAAGAUGUAAGGAUUCAGAGGUUGCAGGAGGCCAAGGAAGAUUAAGAGAUUCUUUCCUCCAAAUCAAGUGCAUAGUGUAUCCAUUAUGGGGCAUGGAGAGUCCCCUCCCCUCCCCCAUCCUCUCCACUUAAUGGGAAAAUGUUGAAAACUUUGAAGAAAUGCUUUCUUUGUUCUUUAAGUUCCAUGAUUAAUUAGGUAUAAGCCAUGUUUCAAAACGUUUCGUCAUUUAUUUGUAAUUCUCCCCAGAGCGUGUACAGUAACUUGGCUCAGAACACACAGAUUACAUUGCAAAUGCUGCUCAUAUGCUGAAACUUUUUGUUUCCUUCCCGUCUCUUCUUUCCCCUACAAUACUUGAGUGGAAGAACAAAGCUGGAUUUCAGUUGGAGAGUGCACUCUGCUCUGUAUGGAUUUCCCUAUCGGUAACCUCCAGAAGGGGACUGUAACAGGAAGCAUUCGGUGGUCGGCCUCAUAACCACACUCAAGGCGGAGACACCAGGGUUGCUCUAGCCCCGGGAUCUCUGCACCAGUCAAGCAAGGACGUGCAUUUGCUUCAAGUCCCUCUUCAUCUCUGCAUCUCCACUGACAGUGGCCCCGGGAGUGGUAACCAAGCAUCAGGUGGACCAACUCAUCCUGCCAAACAGAGAAGUAGAGGCUGAGGCUUCAGUCCCACAUGGUUGUAAAUGUUUUGAGAUGCAAGAAGGGAAGAUGUCAUAGGCCAUGAAGACAGCAUCUCUGUGAGUGGCAUCCCGGGCCCAUCCUCAAUCUGGCUGGCUGGUCAGUGUGGACAUGGAGAUACGGACGUCUUGUGUUUGGACCAGGGAAAGCAUCACCUAUCUCUUGCUUCACAGGGAAAAGUGUGGUAUGUGGGGAAAUGCAGAAAUGAGCAAGCCCCAGCCCAGGCACUGGGUAAAGACAGAGGAACACUGGUAACAAUGAUACGUCACAUUUCCACGAGCACACCGUGCAUCUGAUCGUCGCCGUGACAGCGUCCCUAUUACUGUUAAAUGUUCAUGCCAAUUUUCUACAUGCCAAAAUUUAAUCCGGAAUAUUCAGCUACUCGGGUGAUGGCAUUCUUCUUUGCGUCCUAGAAGUAAAGAACACACAGCAGAUUCUUUGGAAAUUAAAUAUGCCUUUAUUCGCAAAUAUUUCAUUAAAGAGCCCGGAAGGACAAAAGAUGCCUAAACUGGCAGUUCAGUCUUUGCCGUCUGAGAACAAGUUCUUAGAAACUCCAAGAAAUGGGCACGGGGCUGCAUCAAGGGACUGGGAAAUUACUCAUUCUGAUAAAAUUCCAUUUUCUUAUUUCGGAGGGAACUGGGGAGAUGGUGUCCAAGAAAACAGGACAUUCCAUUGGGACUAGCUGCAUGCCUGGUUGCAAUUGAUCCGCAGCUCCAACAGCUGAAGAAGGAAGGGGCGGGUAGCAAUUGCCUGUUCUUGGAGAGGCCACCAAGCAGCAAGAUCUCUUGGCCUUUUUUUCCCUGGAAACCCACCAGUGAUGUUCAAGCCGUUUACAAAGAGCCCUCAGAGAUGUUCUCUGAGGCAAUCCCAGGAAGACUCCUAGAAGUAGAGCUACCAGGGCAGAGCUGAGUGGCUACCACAGGCACAGCCUGAUGUCUACGACAGACCCUCUGUGGAAGAAAUGGCUGACCCUCUGCCUGCGUUCAAAUCCCAGCUCCGCCCAUCGUGCCCUCCGUGACCUUGGGAAGAUGAGGGGACAUCUCUGCCAGCUUCCUCUGCUGGAAGAGGGCGGUGAUGAAACCUACCUCAAUGCAUCUGAUGAGAUUAAAGUGCAGCAACACAUCGAAGGCUGCCACCUCAGAGCUACCUUCCCAGAGGACCAGGGCAAGCCCAGGAGCACAGUGGGGUUGGCAGCAGUUACAGUGCCUACUGUGUGGGGGUCAGGAGCAAUGGGACAGGGGAGGCUGAGACUGGAGCCGUGGGCCCAUCUGUGUGAAAGCAGAAAGCAGGAGCCCAGGAGAAUCUGACGGAUCCCACUCCCAGGGAUCAGUCAGGACCAGGCUGGUCGCUAAGUCAAGAGGUGCAAGUUGGCUUUAGACAGGAAGGACUCUCGAAACCAGAAGGGGCUGGGGACAGAGGACUCUGGAAGACUCCCCCUCAGUCCCAGGCAGCACUCCAGGCAGGGACCAGUUUAGAAAGACAGGCUUGUCGUCCUCCUUUUCCUGAUGAGGAGACAGGAGCUCUGGGUGGUUAAAGGACUUGCACAAGAGAAUUCCACUUGUCAAUCACCAAAUCCACAAAGCCACGCACCUGGACCUGGGCUUCUCCCUUGAUCCACCCAGCCAGCCUUCCUACCCAGGUUCAAAUCCUCCCCUGGUGGUUCUUAGGAACGACAGCACUAAGUUAAAGGGGAACAUAACUCUGCGGUUAUGUUUUUUGGUUUUUCCAAGAACAGAGAACAGUAAUUAAAAAAAAAAAUUGAGUUUCACUCCACUGUGUUUUCCCCUUUUGUACAGAAUACUGUGUAUUCUUUAUUGCUGGGUGUCACAGGCUCAGGUUUUCAGCAAGGCCUGUAACCGGGGUCUUCAGCCUACAGGAUCCAUCCUCUCCGUGGCUCAGGGACAACUCUGCAAAUGGCAAAUUGCUUAUGAUU